rnacentral:tmRNA from 1 species
GGGGAUGACCUGGCUUUGACAGCACGAAGAAGUGGUUUGUAAGCAUGUAGUGCAAGGCUUGUGAGCACUCUAAUCUCACAGAGCAACAAUUCAACUGGCGAAAAUAACUACGCUCUCGCUGCGUAACCGAAUAGAGUAGGUUCGACGCUUCAUCACGACGACAGACUGUUGUGACGAGACAUCACUCAGGUAGCCGUUCUCACCGAGGCGACUUGAUUCAUAGUGGUGCCGGAAAAUCGGAGACUGGCCCAAUGCUUGCCCUUGGCUUGGGAGUGUAUUUAGAGGGAUAAGGCACUGCCUAUGGUAGCCUCAGUCGCGGGCGGUGCACGAAAAGAUAAAGUGAGGAUAAACAUGUAGAAAGCAGAUUAGUUCCGUGUUUGGACCGGGGUUCGACUCCCCGCAUCUCCAC